UUUCAUUAAUCCUAUUGCUCUGUGAAACAACAGAAAAGUAGCAUCCAGUGUGUGUGUCCAGACUUGCUGAUAUUGUUUUUUGUCUUUCAGCCUCCAAGUCGACAUCCAACACAUCAAAACAGCGUUUUAAUCAAUUCAUUUUAAGACAGGAGAGAAGAGCGACCUCUGGAUGGCGUUGGGAGGAGCCCAGGUGGGAGUUGCUGGCCGCAGCAGAGCUUACCUGCAGAGCAUGGCACUAGUGCAGAACACAAAGGAGGACAAGCAGCAUGAGCAGGAGCCCUGACUACUUCCAUGAAACAGGAUUUGGAAUAGCAGAAGAGCCCU